UACAUCCUAUCCUGUUCGUGAUGAGCCUUUUUAUUCCUACAUUUAUAAUACGGGAUGACAGCUCUCAAAGUGAAUUGCAGGCCUCCCGCGCGUUUUCUGCGCUGCGGACGUUGGAAGCAGCGAAGCUAUGAGGAAUCGACCCACCUGCAAAUGUGCAGGGUUAUAAAUGGGCACACACGGCAGGACGGGGACAUU
rnacentral:other from 1 species